GACGAACGCUGGCGGCGUGCUUAACACAUGCAAGUCGAACGGAAAGGCCCUGCUUUUGUGGGGUGCUCGAGUGGCGAACGGGUGAGUAACACGUGAGUAACCUGCCCUUGACUUUGGGAUAACUUCAGGAAACUGGGGCUAAUACCGGAUAGGAGCUCCUGCUGCAUGGUGGGGGUUGGAAAGUUUCGGCGGUUGGGGAUGGACUCGCGGCUUAUCAGCUUGUUGGUGGGGUAGUGGCUUACCAAGGCUUUGACGGGUAGCCGGCCUGAGAGGGUGACCGGCCAAAUUGGGAUGGGGGAGGGGCCAGGGCCCAAUGGGGGGGCAUGGGGGGGAAAAUUUGCAAAAUGGGCGGAGGCCGGAAGGAAGAACGCCGGGUGGGGGAGGACGGCAUGGGGGUGGGAACCCGUUUUAGCUGGUAACGAGGUGGGGGUAAGGGAAAUGGGGAAAAAAGACCCGGUAAACUAGGG
rnacentral:rRNA from 1 species